AUAUUCUGGAUCGAUAUGGCAAGUGCAUUGAGACUGCAGCAACACAUUUAAAACCUUAUAAAAGGUUAUUUAGUUGCUAACAGAGCAGCAGUUUCUGCAAAGCCUGCCAAAAGGUUACAGCUUUUUGGGCAUCAUAAAUUACAGACGACAGGAGAAAAAACCUUUCCUCUGACGGCUGAGACUCGCCUUAUCCCAAACCCAUGGGCGCGUCUGACUCGGCCUUCAUGCAAAUACAGCCUGACUAGGUCCCAAUCCUGCAAGCUGGGGCCCAGCACCCUGAGACAGAAGUGAAGUCACUUUCGACAGGUUUGGGAUCGAACAGCUACAUUUUCCAACACACCACUGAUUUUCGUUACCUAAAGUGAGGGACCGCAUUGAGGGCAGUGUCUAUCCUGCACCUGGAGGUGCGCUUCCCAGCCCACUUAGACAGACGUGCUAGGUCUGUGUGAGCUAAAAAUACCAGCAUGGUGGUGGCUUGGCCUAUCUUCCUGAAUACGAACCCAGGAUGCUGGGUGUUUCCACUUGCAUGGCUAGUCCGAGCCCUGGCCUGUGCUACCCCACCUCCCCGGCUAUUUUUAGCACAGUAGCUCAAGCAGAGCUAGCCCGUUUCUGUCUACCCGCACUGGGAAGCCCACUCCCAGCUGCAGCAUAGAUGUAACCAGUAGAGACUUCCACUGACUCUCCUCAGCCACCCAAACUUGAGGCAUCCAGUUACAGACCAGCUGCCCUUUAUGGGGAGUUAGUGCCCAGUCUGCCCCUGACUGCCUUAUGAAGGCCCCACCUAGGGGUAAUUGACUGCCCCAGGUGUCUGGUUAGUAAUCGAGCACCUGGACUUAAUAAAGGUUCCCCAAGCUCAGUUAGAGGGGAGCCCCCAAGGGAGACAUGACGCUCCUGUUCAGAGCAGCUCCCAGGAGAAGUUGCUGAUGAAGAGCCUAGAGUGAGAAUUAUCUGGGGACCCCACAGACUGCUGCUGCGGAAAGGGCGAACUUCCUAGAUGCAGGACUGCAGUCAGUGGGCAUCCAGGAGGGCCUGGUCUCAGCCAUGGAUGCCCUUGACGCCAUCUGGAAGCCCAACCUGGCAAGGAUCAGCCACUAUCCAUGGAGAAGAGCGGCAGUGGACAGACCUCCCUGGACUCCUGACUCCAGAGACAGGAAGCCUAACACCAGGGGCAGAGACUGGAACUGAGAGAUCCCCCGGAGAAGAGCCUGGCUGGAGGCAAGAACUGGACGCAGGUGGGGGACAGAUGGAUUAAGAAUGACCUGGUCACCAGCUGAAAUGUUGGGGUGAAAGCUUUGUUUGUGUCCUGCGGCAGCUUUUCUGUUAAUAAAUAAGGGCCUCCAAAAGCCGGUGGAGGUGCUCUUUAGCAUCUGUCAGGACCAGUUAAUACCCUGGGAGAGGGGAAAAUCGAGGAAGGGCUCACCCACAAUACCACGCCCACCUGCAAGGGGGUGCACUGGGUCAGCCAGGAAUGAAGACACACCCCAAAUCAGGGACUGCUAAUGAGAAGGCUGGACAGACGAGGAGCUCCCACGUGGCUAUUUUGCGCACAUUGCCUUUGUGUGCACACGAUAUUUUCACUGAAUGGAUUUCCUGUUUCCGCUAUCAGCACAGCUCCUCUAAAGCUCCUCUAAAAGGCCAGAUCCACAGUGAAUGGGCAUUUCUGAGAAUCAUGUGCUGAAUAUUUUCCUAAGGGCAAGGUCUGGAAUAAUCUCAGAAGGGAAGUGGUAAAAGCCCCAUGGCUAGAUUCAUUUUAAAAUGGACUGGUCAAAGUACUGGGGAACGGGAAGGAAGGAUGGUCCAGUGCUUAGGGCAUUAGCCUAGGAGACUCACGUUCAAUUCCCUGCUCUGCCACAGACUUCCUGGGUGACCUUGGGCACGUCACUUAGUCUCUUUGGGCCUCAGUUCCCUGCCUGUACAAUGGGGAUGACAAGUCAGUGCUCAGAGUCUUUAAAUACAUUAAAGGCUGCAAAGUACUCAGAUGCUAUGGUAAUGGGGGGCCAGAUAGAGUACAGUGUCGGGACCGGUCUGGUGCGGGCCAGAGAGGAUGGGCAAGGUGUCUAACUAUCUCUAACAUCAAUAAUGGUGACUCCCAUGCUCUAUACUCAAUACUUCCAGCCAAAGGUCCAGCUUUGGCUCUGGCCUCUCUCUAAUUCAUCCUUCAAUCCAUAAUGGCUACAGUAAUACACAUUUAAAACUCUUGC